rnacentral:rRNA from 1 species
CUUGGCGGCCAUAGCGCGGUGGUCCCACCUGAUCCCAUGCCGAACUCAGAAGUGAAACGCCGUAGCGCCGAUGGUAGUGUGGGUGAAUUUUGCGCUUUUGUUUUUGCCAGUU